GGAAGAGAUUAACUUUCACUGUUGAUAUAUUCUAAGUUUUAUAUGGAACAGAACUCUCAGGUAGAAAAGUGAUUUUACUCUUCGAUUUGCAGAGCUUUCGAUAUCCAUCAUAAUUCCUGUCAUAUCCUGUGGAUAUUACUUUGACCAUUGCAGCCAGAAAUCCUGAUGUAAUCAGUUGUCUUCAGGGAGUUCUUUGAAUCAAAACCAUUAGGAGACUCUAAAUGAGCCCCGCUAGCGGCUCUUGCUGGGUUGUGCUCACAGCACGAGGAUCGACCUAUUGUGAAGAGGGGAAGGCAAUGGAGUUAAAUAGAAGGUGGAAACAAAAUCUUAAGACACUGUAUUUGUACAUGAAGAUUAGAGAACAAGAGACCAAACUGGGCCUCAGUUUGAGCCCAAAACCUCACACAUCAAUGAUUUAUUGCCAGACUGGGACACUUCUGAGAGAGAAAGGGGGCAUCAUGAAUAUUUGUUGUAAGGCGACUGGAACACACAGGGACUGGCCUGGGCAGACCAAGAAGCAAAGGUAUCCUAAUUCCUGUACUUGUGGCCUCUGGCUGACUCUUUCCACAAAACUCUUCCCAGGGGAACUUCUUCCUCCUUAGAACAA
rnacentral:lncRNA from 1 species